AUGAACGCUGGCGGUAUGCUUAACACAUGCAAGUCGUACGAAGAAGCAAUUUUUAGUGGCGAACGGGUGAGUAACACGUGAGAAUUUGCCUUUAGGAAGAGGAUAACAAUUAGAGAUAAUUGCUAAUACUCUAUAUGUCAAAAAUUUGAGAGAGAAUCAAAUAAUUUGAUGAAAGAAGAAAUUCGCCAAAAGAGAAGCUCGCGUCUGAUUAGCUAGUUGGUAGGGUAAAGGCCUACCAAGGCGACGAUCAGUAGCUGGUUUGAGAGGAUGAUCAGCCACAUUGGAACUGAGACACGGUCCAGACUCCUACGGGAGGCAGCAGUGAGGAAUUUUCUGCAAUGGGCGAAAGCCUGACAGAGCAAUACCGCGUGAGGGAUGACGGCCUAUGGGUUGUAAACCUCUUUUCUCAAGGAGGAAGAUAUGACGUUACUUGAGGAAUAAGCAUCGGCUAACCCUGU
rnacentral:rRNA from 1 species